CAAUAGCGUAUAUUUAAGUUGCUGCAGUUAAAAAGCUCGUAGUUGGAUUUCGGGUGGGAAUGGCCGGUCCGCCGUUUCGGUGUGCACUUGCUACGCCCACCUUGCUGCCGGGGACGUGCUCUUGAGUUCACGCUCGGGACACGGAGUCGGCGAGGUUACUUUGAGUAAAUUAGAGUGUUCAAAGCAGGCCUACGCUCUGAAUACAUUAGCAUGGAAUAACACGAUAGGACUCUGGCCUAUCUUGUUGGUCUGUAGGACCGGAGUAAUGAUUAAGAGGGACAGUCGGGGGCAUUCGUAUUUCAUUGUCAGAGGUGAAAUUCUUGGAUUUAUGAAAGACGCACUACUGCGAAAGCAUUUGCCAAGGAUGUUUUCAUUAA
rnacentral:rRNA from 1 species